rnacentral:tRNA from 1 species
CACUGGAUAGCUCAGAUGGUUAGAGCAUCGGACUGUUAAUCCGACUGUCGCGGGUUCGAUUCCCGCUCCAACGC